AUCUGGCACCUUCGGUGUCCGAGUUGUAAUCUCAAGAAGUGUUUUCCGCGUUGGACCGCACACAAGUCUGUUGGAAUACAGCGGCAUAGUGGUGAGACCCCCGUAUAUGGUGCGGACGCCCAACGCUUUGUGAUACACUUUCGAAGAGUCGAGUUGUUUGGGAAUGCAGCUCAAAUUGGGUGGUAAAUUCCAUCUAAAGCUAAAUAUUGGCGAGAGACCGAUAGCGAACAAGUACCGUGAGGGAAAGAUGAAAAGCACUUUGGAAAGAGAGUUAACAGUACGUGAAAUUGUUGGAAGGGAAACGCUUGAAGUCAGACUUGCUUGCCGAGCAAUCGGUUUGCAGGCCAGCAUCAGUUUUCCGGGGUGGAUAAUGGUAGAGAGAAGGUAGCAGUUUCGGCUGUGUUAUAGCUCUUUGCUGGAUACACCUUGGGGGACUGAGGAACGCAGUGUGCCUUACGGCGGAUUUCUCGAGAUCUUCACACUUAGGAUGCUGGUGGAAUGGCUUUAAACGACCCGUCUUG
rnacentral:rRNA from 1 species